AACGCGAAGAACCUUACCAGGUCUUGACAUCCUUUGACCACUCUAGAGAUAGAGCUUUCCCUUCGGGGACAAAGUGACAGGUGGUGCAUGGUUGUCGUCAGCUCGUGUCGUGAGAUGUUGGGUUAAGUCCCGCAACGAGCGCAACCCUUAUUGUUAGUUGCCAUCAUUUAGUUGGGCACUCUAGCGAGACUGCCGGUGACAAACCGGAGGAAGGUGGGGAUGACGUCAAAUCAUUAUGCCCCUUAUGACCUGGGCUACACACGUGCUACAAUGGGAAGUACAACGAGUCGCUAGACCGCGAGGUCAUGCAAAUCUCUUAAAGCUUCUCUCAGUUCGGAUUGCAGGCUGCAACUCGCCUGCAUGAAGCCGGAAUCGCUAGUAAUCGCGGAUCAGCACGCCGCGGUGAAUACGUUCCCGGGUCUUGUACACACCGAA
rnacentral:rRNA from 1 species